AUAGUAAGAGGCUGGUUCUGCAUUGCCUGUCAGAUUGUUCAUGUUGAGGAGAGCCUCAACAACACUUCUGUAGCCAAGUCGGUUCAACAUUUCUGUCUGAAAAGAGAAGCAGAGAGAAGAUGUGAGACAAUCAGCUAACAACACAAAGGACUGAACAACUGCAUAUACUGUCAGUAUUUACCAUACAUUUAAAAU
rnacentral:lncRNA from 1 species